rnacentral:lncRNA from 1 species
UGGUCCGUGAAAUUGGGAUAAAAACUGUAAUUUGGCAUUUAAAUUAGAAAGAUCAUAUCAUAGGGAACAUGUGUACUAAGUUUCAAGUUGAUUGGACUUGAACUUCAUCAAAAACUUUAACCUGAAGCGGGAAGAACGAAUGGACGGAAAAACAAAUGAAUGUACCCACAGUCCAGAAAACAUAAUGUCCCUCUACUAUCGUAGGUGGGGCAUAAAAACAUAUUUCUGACCAAGCCUGAGCACUUUGUCUCAUGCAGGGACCUAGCUAGACUUAAAUGAUGUGCAUGCACAUUUGUUUACCCAGCAUAUCCAUAUUCACUUGUAAGCAGCAAUCAACCAAUCAAAACCACUAUUCACAAUAAAAAUAAGAAUUCAUGUACUUUUGUUCUUUUCUUUUAUUAUAUUACAUAAAAGUUAUUCAUUACAUAAACAUAUAAAAUAUUUAAAUGCACUGACCACAAAUAUCAC